AGCCAUGCAGUGAACACAAAGCGAACUAUUCUUUCGCCUUUUACUAAAGAAUACCGUGUGUUCGCUGUAUUCAGUGGCAUACUCUUAUUUUUGGAGAGUCUAUUCUUAUUGAAGAGCU